rnacentral:rRNA from 1 species
GACGAACCGAGCGAACGUUGUUCGGAAUCACUGGGCUUAAAGGGCGCGUAGGCGGGUGCUCAAGUCCGGGGUGAAAUCCCACAGCUCAACUGUGGAACUGCCUCGGAUACUGGGUGUCUCGAGGGUGGCAGGGGUAUGCGGAACUAUCGGUGGAGCGGUGAAAUGCGUUGAUAUCGAUAGGAACUCCGGUGGCGAAGGCGGCAUACUGGUCCACUUCUGACGCUGAGGCGCGAAAGCGUGGGGAGCAAACAGG